GAUUAANGCAUCGUAUAUAUGAUAAAUCUAUCAAUACUUUAUCAAAUCAAUAAGCAUUUAUUCUAUGUUAAAAUGCAAGCAUAAUAAUUUGAAUAAACUAAAGCUCAUGAUUUUUUGAUAAAUAUUAUAUUAUAUUAAUAGAUUACAAUGUCCUUAUAUGGAAAAAAUG
rnacentral:rRNA from 1 species